GCGGCCUCCAGCCUGAGAGGAGACCCUGUCUGUGUAAGCGAGCGGCUCGGCUUUCUGCUCUGACCCCGUGACCCUGCUGCAAUUAAAAUAAGGCUCUCUCUUCGCUCAUCAAAAGAAGCUCCUGACUUAAGGUCAGCCCACAAGCUGCUGUUUUCUGAAUGAGUGCACUGGGCUUGUGGCGCUGACGAGAGUAGCCGUGUGGAGUAAUGUUUGGGGUUUGUUCUCUUUGAGCAAUUAAACAGAGUCUAGGACAAGUGUUGGGAAGUGACUAUGAUGCUAUUAAUUUAACUACACUUUUUUUUAAGAUGAAUGACUGUUCAGAUGUUUUGAAGCUUUUCCAUUAAAAAUGUAUUAAUUUUUUUUCGAACAAGUAGCAGCGCAGCCACGGCUUUAAAAGCUGAGCAAGACAUAAUUAUCAGAAUAACCAAACACAUAGUCAGUUUAAAUUUACUGAGAUGGCAUGUUCAGAGGGAUUACAUAAAUAAACUAGAAACAGUUCACCAGAAAAAGGAAUGAUUCACGGAUUCACACUAAAGUUCUGAAAUGAAAACUAAAUUUUAGCAGUUAUUACUCCAGUCUUCAGUGUCACAUGAUCAUUCAAACAUCCCUGUUGAAAAAUCCAGCAUAUGCUGGUUAAGUAUGUUUUGAAGCAUGGCUGCUGGUUUUUUGAGCUGGUUUAAGCUGGUCCUUAGCUGGUCAUGUGCUGGUCCUAACCAACUAGCUCCUGCUCAGGACCAGCUUAAAUCAGCUCAAACCAGCAGCCAUGCUUCAAAACAUACCUAACCAGCAUAUGCUGGACUUUUCAACAAGAAUUUCUUAAUAUUAUCAGUUAUACAUGAAACAGUUAUACAGGUGAUUGUAAGAUCAUAUUGUGAAAUAUGUCCCAGUGUGAAAUAUAAUGUCACAAUUCUGAAAUAUAAAGUGACUAAGAUUUUUUGUUACCUGUACCUCAGCACUUCUGGUGGUGGAUUGCUAUUUUUCACAUCAAUACAACUCUGAUUUCUGUAGAGACUUCAAUUUGGGUGACUGUCUGAUUGUUUGUGGUGCUGAUGGAGCUGUGCUGUAUUGUGUGGUGGUUUAUGGCAGUAACUGGGCGUCAUCUACUGCUGCAGUCCUCACUCUCGUUCUCUGUCUCACUCUGCAGUCAUCAGUGGCCCAUAAGAGAUGGCAAUUUUUUGUGAGUGUUCUUAAAUGACCUGCCAUCCCAUUUGCCUCACUCCCUCCCUCUUUCUCUCUAGGCUGUUUCCUUUUUCUCUCUCAACUAAUCCUCCACACUCCCUUGCUUUCUGAAUCUUUGGCCUGUGCUCUGUCCCUGUCACUCUCUCUCACUCUUUCUGUCUCCCUCAAUCCACCCUUUUGCUCCAAGAAUAAUUCAUCAUUCCUCUCUAAGGCU
ensembl:lncRNA